ensembl:lncRNA
ACAAGAAAGUCCGAAGCACUAAAGAUUUCCUGGAGUUAUAUGUCUUCCUGUUGAAAAUGCAACAAGUUUCUGAUGAACACUGGUUACUGGUGAUUUUCCUGAAUUUUUUUUUUUUUAAUAACAGCUACCUUCUCACCAUGUUAUUGUGAAGAGUGAGUGAGAAAAUAUAUGUGAAACGCCAAGCAGAGUGCCUGACUCAAGAAAGUGGUUAAUAAAUGUUCAUAUCACCUUCUGUGCA